GACGAACGCUGGCGGCGUGCCUAAUACAUGCAAGUAGAACGCACAGUUUAUACCGUAGCUUGCUACACCAUAAACUGUGAGUUGCGAACGGGUGAGUAACGCGUAGGUAACCUGCCUGGUAGCGGGGGAUAACUAUUGGAAACGAUAGCUAAUACCGCAUAAUAUUGAUUAUUGCAUGAUAAUUGAUUGAAAGAUGCUAUUGCAUCACUACCAGAUGGACCUGCGUUGUAUUAGCUAGUAGGUGAGGUAACGGCUCACCUAGGCGACGAUACAUAGCCGACCUGAGAGGGUGAUCGGCCACACUGGGACUGAGACACGGCCCAGACUCCUACGGGAGGCAGCAGUAGGGAAUCUUCGGCAGUGGACGAAAGUCUGACCGAGCAACGCCGCGUGAGUGAAGAAGGUUUUCGGAUCGUAAAGCUCUGUUGUAAGAGAAGAACGGGUGUGAGAGUGGAAAGUUCACACUGUGACGGUAUCUUACCAGAAAGGGACGGCUAACUACGUG
rnacentral:rRNA from 1 species